GGAUCGAUAGCUCAGUGGGAGAGCACGACGCUGAAGACGUCGCGUGCCUCGGUUCGAUUCCGAGUCGAUCCA
rnacentral:tRNA from 2 species